rnacentral:tRNA from 1 species
GUCAGGAUGGCCGAGCGGUCUAAGGCGCUGCGUUCAGGUCGCAGUCUACUUAGGUAGGCGUGGGUUCGAAUCCCACUUCUGACA